GAAAUACUCCCUCCGAUCCAUAUUAAUUGUCUCAAAUUUGCCUAAAUAUGGAUGUAUCUAUGCCUAAAAAACGUCUAGAUACAUAUAAUAUUUCGACAGUUAAUAUGGAUCAGAGGGAGUAUAAA
rnacentral:pre_miRNA from 1 species